rnacentral:lncRNA from 1 species
GCUGAGCUCUGCUUUUAUAGAGCCUUGGUCACGUGCCUCACAUGUGCUGCCUUGUGGGCUCUUGACUAUGGGCUAUCUCCUUAGUGGGUUAUCUCCUUUGUGGGCUGAGGCCCAACAUUUGUCCCCCCCUCAAGUAUAGGUUGAUCUUUAGAUGAGCCUUUGAACUGUCUUGAACCUUUUCUCUCUAAUAUUUAUAGCUGAACUCGUGGGCUUCUUCUGUCUUUGGGCUUUCUUCUGGAC